UUGAGCUAUAGCUUGUCCAUUGGACUCAGGAAGCCGAAUCUGAGUGUUUUCACCAUGGCUCUGGCUCCAUUACUCCUUGUCUUCAUUUAUCACUUAGCAGGGUCAUGUGGGCAGCUUGUGCUGACUCAGCCAAAAACCGUGUCGGGGUCUCCAGGAAGCAAAGUCACCAUCUCCUGCCAGCGCAGCAGUGGCAACAUUGGAGACUACUAUGUGCAAUGGUACCAGCAGCACGAGGGAAGAUCCCCCACCAAUGUGAUCUACAAGUAUAACAAAAGACCAUCUGGGAUUCCUGAUCGGUUCUCUGGCUCCACUGACAGCUCCUCCAACUCAGCCUUUCUGACCAUCAGUAACCUGCAGGCUGAGGAUGAGGCCGACUACUACUGUCAGUCUGGUGAAAGUGACUAUAGAUGGGUGUUCGGCAGCGGGACCAGAGUGACUGUCCUAGGUCAGCCCAAGGCUACACCCUCAGUCACCGUGUUCCCACCUUCCUCUGAGGAGCUCAGUACCAACAAGGCCACAGUGGUGUGUAUGAUGACUGACUUCUACCCAGGUGUUGUGUCAGUGGCCUGGAAGGCAGACGGCACUCCUAUUAACACGGGUGUGGAGACUAGCCAGCCUUCCCGACAGAACAACAACAAGUACGUGGCUACCAGCUACCUGUCCUUGACGAAAGAAUUGUGGGAAUCUAAAAACCGUUUCAGCUGCCAGGUCACUCAUGAAGGGAACACUGUGGAGAAGAGUCUGUCCCCUGCUGAGUGUUCCUAGGUCUUCUGACCUUCAUCUUACCUACCGAGCAUGAGAUCAGAAUCAUGCCCAAGAAUACCCUUACUGCUCUUGCCUAUCACAGCCGUUUUUCCUGCUCUCAAAAUGCACAAUAAAAUAUCUAUUAUCAACCUGUAA